rnacentral:rRNA from 1 species
UCGCCUACGGGGCGCAGCAGUGGGGAAUAUUGCACAAUGGGGGAAACCCUGAUGCAGCGACGCCGCGUGAGUGAGGAAGUAUUUCGGUAUGUAAAGCUCUAUCAGCAGGGAAGAAAAUGACGGUACCUGACUAAGAAGCCCCGGCUAACUACGUGCCAGCAGCCGCGGUAAUACGUAGGGGGCAAGCGUUAUCCGGAUUUACUGGGUGUAAAGGGAGCGUAGACGGCAGCGCAAGUCUGGAGUGAAAUGCCGGGACC